CUUCCGUAGGGGUAACCUGCGGAAGGAUCAUUA
rnacentral:rRNA from 1 species